rnacentral:sRNA from 1 species
GACAUUUUGGUUCUUACCACCUUCAUAUAAAAUACUGUCUCCCUGCCCCACAUUUAACAUUGUAAUUUUGUGAUGUGAAUUUGUUGGAAACGUUAUUAAUAAUGUCAGAAUAAUUAUAGUCCAAAACGUAACCAAUAUAUAUUUACGUUUAGCCAAUAACCAAAAUAUGUA